rnacentral:rRNA from 1 species
GUGUGACUGCGUACCUUUUGUAUAAUGGGUCAGCGACUUAUAUUCUGUAGCAAGGUUAACCGAAUAGGGGAGCCGAAGGGAAACCGAGUCUUAACUGGGCGUUAAGUUGCAGGGUAUAGACCCGAAACCCGGUGAUCUAGCCAUGGGCAGGUUGAAGGUUGGGUAACACUAACUGGAGGACCGAACCGACUAAUGUUGAAAAAUUAGCGGAUGACUUGUGGCUGGGGGUGAAAGGCCAAUCAAACCGGGAGAUAGCUGGUUCUCCCCGAAAGCUAUUUAGGUAGCGCCUCGUGAAUUCAUCUCCGGGGGUAGAGCACUGUUUCGGCAAGGGGGUCAUCCCGACUUACCAACCCGAUGCAAACUGCGAAUACCGGAGAAUGUUAUCACGGGAGACACACGGCGGGUGCUAACGUCCGUCGUGAAGAGGGAAACAACCCAGACCGCCAGCUAAGGUCCCAAAGUCAUGGUUAAGUGGGAAACGAUGUGGGAAGGCCCAGACAGCCAGGAUGUUGGCUUAGAAGCAGCCAUCAUUUAAAGAAAGCGUAAUAGCUCACUGGUCGAGUCGGCCUGCGCGGAAGAUGUAACGGGGCUAAACCAUGCACCGAAGCUGCGGCAGCGACGCUGAUGCGUUGUUGGGUAGGGGAGCGUUCUGUAAGCCUGCGAAGGUGUGCUGUGAGGCAUGCUGGAGGUAUCAGAAGUGCGAAUGCUGACAUAAGUAACGAUAAAGCGGGUGAAAAGCCCGCUCGCCGGAAGACCAAGGGUUCCUGUCCAACGUUAAUCGGGGCAGGGUGAGUCGACCCCUAAGGCGAGGCCGAAAGGCGUAGUCGAUGGGAAACAGGU